CACAGGACCUCCCCGAGCGCUCACCGCUAGCCGAGCGAGCGGGGAAGGGGAUCACUCGCCCCCACUUCACAGACCAGGAAACCGAGGCUCAGACACGGGAGGCCGUUUGCCCGAAGGCGCACGGCCGGGCAAUCCCUGGAAUGGCUGCCGCUCUCCCAGCCAGGUUCGGGUGAGGGGAGGCAGAGGGGGGCCGUCCUGGGACCCAGCCGCGCCCUGACCCAGGAGCAGCGACGUGGGAUCCUCCACUCAGGCCCACAGCCCAAGAUUCCAUAGUCCAAGAUUCCAGAAGAAGAAUCCAGGAUGGGAAGGGUGGGGUCAGAGGGAGAAUGCUGAAAGAAGGUUCUGGAAGGUAGGGAAGAGGCAGGGUGGGGCAGCCACCCUGAGCAGAACCCCCUCCCAGCAGCCCAGCAGGCCUCCUGUCCACCCCCACCACCCCCUCCCAGCCUCCACUCCUGCCCCCCACCCCCCACCCUCC